CCUACGGGUGGCAGCAGUGAGGAAUAUUGGUCAAUGGGCGCGAGCCUGAACCAGCCAAGUCGCGUGAGGGAAGACGGUCCUAUGGAUUGUAAACCUCUUUUGUCAGGGAGCAAAGGACGCCACGUGUGGUGUUUUGCGAGUACCUGAAGAAAAAGCAUCGGCUAACUCCGUGCCAGCAGCCGCGGUAAUACGGAGGAUGCGAGCGUUAUCCGGAUUUAUUGGGUUUAAAGGGUGCGCAGGCGGGCUGUUAAGCCGGCGGUAAAAAUUCAGGGCUCAACCCUGUCGAGCCGUCGGAACUGGCAGCCUUGAGUGGGCGAGAAGUAUGCGGAAUGCGUGGUGUAGCGGUGAAAUGCAUAGAUAUCACGCAGAACGCCGAUUGCGAAGGCAGCAUACCGGCGCC
rnacentral:rRNA from 1 species